rnacentral:rRNA from 1 species
GAUGAACGCUGGCGGCGUGCUUAACACAUGCAAGUCGAACGAUUAAAGCUCUCUUCGGAGAGUGUAUAGAGUGGCGAACGGGUGAGUAACACGUGGGCAACCUGCCCCUCACACUGGGAUAACUCAGGGAAACUUGAGCUAAUACCGGAUACUUCCAUCGGGUCGCAUGGCCUGAUGGGGAAAGCUCCGGCGGUGAGGGAUGGGCCCGCGGCCCAUUAGCUUGUUGGUGAGGUAACGGCUCACCAAGGCUUCGAUGGGUAGCCGAGCUGAGAGGCUGAUCGGCCACACUGGGACUGAGACACGGCCCAGACACCUACGGGUGGCAG